GAGAGGGAGAGAGGGAGAGUGUGUUGGGGAACAGUGGAGAGGAAACCGAGCGGCAGCAGCACCGUGGCAACUCCACCGGCACGCUGCCUACAACCAUCUCCAUUCUUUAUGCUGCGUGACAUGUGGAAGCAAGUGCAACGACCUAAACUGUGUCACGUGUCAUUUUGGAACGAUGCUCUUCAAAUACUUCAUCACCGGCCCUCUCAGUUUCACGGCAGACGCCGGCUGACCUCAUCGAGUGACCUCACCAAUCACUGAUCAAAGUCUGUGGGUUUCUGGCUGGUCAGGUUAAUCAGAGGACCACCGUGGAGAACCAAUCAGUUUUCCUAGACACCUGUGCAGGUCUAGUGUUUCAGCCAAGUCCCUGAAAAAUGAAUGCGGAGCUCCAAUCUCUUAAUCCACUCGGCUCCACGCAGCCAUGUCACAUGACACCGCCACGGCCGCCCUGAUGCCCAGACAACAUUGGAGGGAACAUUUGUUUUGUGUGUGUAUGUGUGUGUGUAUG